CGCACAUUGCGCCCCUUGGUAUUCCAUGGGGCAUGCCUGUUCGAGCGUCAUUUGAACCCUCAAGCUUUGCUUGGUGAUGGGUGUUUGUCCACUUCUAGUAUUUGGACUCGCCUUAAAAUUAUUGGCAGCCGGCAUAUAGGCCUUUGGAGCGCAGCACAUUUUGCGAUCUAAGCCCAUCUUCUGGUAAUCCAUUAAGCAAAUUUAUCACUUUUGACCUCGGAUCAGGUAGGGAUACCCGCUGAACUUAA
rnacentral:misc_RNA from 1 species